AUGCCUGGGGACCGAUGGGUCUGGACCCCUGCCCGGACACUGAUGCCUUCAAACAGAACCUUGUCCUCAUGGGGGUCCCAGUGGUCAGAGGUCGUCCAGCUGUGGCAGCUGCCUCCACCCCUCACCCGGGCAACAGAGGGCCCAGCUCACCCCACCCCUGCCCGGCCAGCUGCCCACCUCCCCACGCUCCCCUGCGGAAAGGGAGCCACAGAGUGGACCAGGAAGCUGGGUGGGGCCGUGUGUGUCUCCACAGCUUCCUGCAGCGUCCUGGGCCGGCCACCUGUGAGUGACACAGCCUCUAAUUACCUUGGGCUGGCAGGCUGUGCGGGGCUGAGAACAACUCCGGAGAGUGAAGCCGGGCUGGUGAGAAACAAGCCCACAGUUGACAAGGGAUCUAGGAAGCUACUUAGGGGCAGAGCUUGUCUCCUGCUGCCCCUCCAUGGUCGGUCUGUGCCUUCUGGGUGCCCCUCUGAUCCGCCCUUCGUGGCAGAGCCCCCAGCUCAUUUUCCCCAGCCCUGUGCCACCCCUCGCUGGCGGGGCGGAGCCNNNNNNNNNNNNNNNNNNNNNNNNNNNNNNNNNNNNNNNNNNNNNNNNNNNNNNNNNNCCGGCUGCUCCUGACCCAGGCCCCGCUCUGCACUGGCGCAGCCAGAUUGCCUCUGUGGCCAGACACACCCUCAGUGUCCCUGCCUCCCUCCCCCUCGAUGCCUUCACUGGUAAAGGGCUGGCCGCCUAUGAGCCAGCCCAGAGCCAUGCUGGUCCCCGCUCAGCCCCCGCACACAUCCCAGGCCCCCCAGGGCCAUGCCUGGCUGCUCAGUGCCAGGUGCCAAGGCUCCCAGCCCUGGGAGGUGUCGAUUCUGAAACGCCCAAGUGGACAGACGAGGAAACUGAGGUGCUGAGAAAACUGCUGCCUGUGCCCUCAAAGCGCAGGUGCCCCUGCCCAGGGCUACCUGAGUGGAGCUUUUCACCGUGACUUUACGUAAGACCCAGGGGAGCUGAAGCUGCAGGGGUGGCCAGGCUGACCACAUGUAGGGUCCCCUCCCACCCCAGGGCCCUGGCUGUUCCCUUCCUGACCCUGCCUGGGGGGCUGAUUCAGGGGGAGGCGGCUCACCCCCCACGUGGAUGCGGGGGUGGGGGUCGCUCCCAGCCCACAUCUGGAGGCCAGGCCACACCCGCUGCCUUCUGAGUCAGUGAGGAUGGAACAGGUCCACGCGGGGGAGGAGGCCGGGUGCGGCACAUGGAGCCCCCUGGGGACGCGCCAGCAGGGCCGAGGCGCACGCAGCCUCCUGGGUUCUGCCUGAGCUUCCUCUGAGGCUGAGCGGGAGACCCUGCCUCGCCAUCUACUCAGCAAAGACGACACGCUUUGGAUGCACGGGAGCAGAGACAGACGGGGCCUCCGCCCAGAGAGGGCACAGUACUGUCUAGAGAGCAGCGGAGGGGCACUGGCUGGGGGUCAGGGAAGGUCUCUGAAGGGUGGGCAUCCGCGUUCACUAGCGAGGGGCAGAGGGGACCCUGCGAGCGGCCCAGGCGGAUCCAACGGAUGAUGGGCUUUUACCCAGAGCUGGCCCAACACCACAGUGGCCUCCAGGGGACCACUGCCCCUCCUCUCCCCCAUGUCCCCCAUUACCCCUGGGGAGGGGCAGCCUGGCAGACGGCAGUGAGCAGGUCGCAGGGUGGCUGGGGGCCACACUACCUGCUGCAGCCGGAAGGCUGGCCAGUGUGGGGGAAGGGGAGGCCGAGCCCCAGCACAAAAGGCCCUUGUGUGACCAGAGGCACCUGGAGGGGAGGGGUGCCGGCCUCUCAGGGACUCCAGGGGCCCAGAGUGUGGGGACUGCUGCUGCUGGGGCGGCCUCAGAAUCCUGUCUUGGACAGUUGCAGCUAUGUGUGGGCGCCUGGGGCGGCCGGGGUGGGGGGGCUACUCCGACCUGGGCAGGACCAGGCCCUACGCAGGGGGGCAGGCCCGGCUGUACACGGCCCUGGUUCAGGGCCCGGCUCUGGCUCAGAUUUCCCAGCAGUGGGAUGGCAGCAAGUCCCUGCACGUCCAGGACCCCCGUUCUCCUCCCAUCUGGGAGUGAGAGCGGCUUCCGCCUGGAGGGGCUGCUGGGAGGACUCGGCGAGGUGAGGAAACGCUCAGGGCCGCUGGCACGAGGGAAGGGCUGCAGCGGCUCUUGCCCCAUGUCUGGCCCAGCGCGGAUCCUGAGAAAUGGUACAGGAUUCAGUCUGAGGGCCGUUUCCAGGCUGGGCAACUGUCUCUGGGGCCACCACACAGCCGCAUCCCCCAACCCGAGCCCUUGUCAGCCCAGGGAGGCCAGGACCCCUCACCUCUGGUUCUGUCAUCAUGGCUCAGAGGUGGUGGAUCUGAAACCCAAGGCCCCUGCCUGCCCCUCCUCACAGGGGGACACUUGCCAAUGGCUCCAGGCCUCCUCUGCCUCUCCCCAGGCCACAUCCUGGCGGGCCCACGGCUCCCGUCCUGGGCAGAUCUGACUUCAUAAGUGGAAAAACACCGAUCCCAUAGUUUCCACGUGAAGUCUCCCCGCUGUGGUCUCUCCUCACUUGGAAGGCGCGGAGCGUGGCGGCAGCGGCCGGCAGCCCAGGGCAGCCGGCUUCUCUGCUUACGCGCUCGGCCGCCUGCCCGUCCUGUCUCUCCCAGAUGCUGCAGGAGGGGCUGCCCCCCCGCCCCGAACCCGCCGUUCUCCCUCCUUCCCCAUCCACCUCCGCAGAGAUUCCGGUGGGGGGCUGUUUCGGGGAAAGGCAGAGUCGGAUACUUUUGGACCGACAUGUGCUGCAGAGAAGCGACGGGCUGGGGCUGAGGAAAAGGGGCUUGUUCACGGUCGUCAAGUGUUCGAGGCCGGGCCCUGCUCUGUGCGCCUCAGCCCACCCGGCCCUGAUGACGGCGCAGGAAGGAGCAACUGAUACCGUAACGAGGUCAUGUGAUGGCUCCAAGUCACAUAGCCAAGGAGUGACGGGGCUGGGGCAGGAACUCCGCUGGGCACUGGGGGCCUGACUCAUAACUACUGUGUGCCAUGGGGGUUCAGGCAGGGAGUGGAGAAGGGGGCUGGGGGUUCCUUCCUCGGUCCUUCCUGGAGCGGCGGUCCCUCACUCACCGUCUCCCGCCCCUCCUCUCUGCUCCCAGGGA
ensembl:lncRNA